GGCCCAAUGGUCUAGACGUAUGAUACACGCUUCGGGUUGCAUCCCUUACGAUUACGUAACUGUGUGUGUGGUCCCGGGUUCAAUUCCCGGUUGGGCCC